rnacentral:hammerhead_ribozyme from 1 species
GCACUCCUGAGGAGUCCCACAAUAGGACGAAACGGCCUUCUAGUGC